AGUGUGUGGUGUGAGAUGAUAAGCUGUACAAACUGCAAAAACAACCCCGUAAUCUUAAUGUACCGUGGUACAACAACCUAACGGAAGCUGAGCCAUCCCGUGCCUUAAUCCAUGGAGCUAUCCCGAUUCAAUUUCCUUCCAUCAACAACUAGGGUUAGGAGAUCUGGAGAUGGUGGCUUCGCCCAGCAAGACGCCCUCGUUCCGCGCACGGCCGGCGACCGGCGACCGGCGCGACUAAUUCCUUUCCAGCGGCUGCCUUCUCUCCUCUCCGGCGGGUGGCCCACUGCGCCAACCCACCACGACGACCUCGUUCCCACAGGGCCGGCGACCGACCGGCGAGGCUAAUUCUGCUGCGGCAGCUGGCUUCUCUCUCUCCGGCGGCUGGCGUACCGCGCCAAUCCUCCUCUGAGCGCUCCCCAUCGAAUUGGUACUGGAUCCCGUUCCGAAGUAGCUAUGGAAUGCCACAGUGAACUGAGCAAGGCUCCACCUUUGACUAUUUGCGAUGUCCAGUCUGAUGCAGAAUCAGCCAUCCACACUAGACCAAGUUCGGAAAAUGUAUUCACCACCCCGCAGAAAAUGUACAGUGCACCAUUCUGUCGCUCAUCUUGUACUCCAGAGUGUGAUGAUGACAUUAGGCCAGCCAUAGGGAUGACCUUUACAGAUUUGAACGCAGCCAAGGAUUUCUAUGAAGCUUAUGCACAUCAUGUUGGUUUUUCAGUACGUGUAGGACAACAUAAGACAGCCAAUGGUGUCAUUACUCACAAGCGUUUCUACUGUGAUCGUGAAGGUUUCCGCCAGGAGCAGAAAGGUCGGUGUGUGUGGUCUUUUGAAACUCCUACCGAGUUUGAGGAACGAUGGAAGGAAAUUAUGUCGGAGUAUGGGCUGGAAGAUGAUGAUUGGUUCAGUAAAAGGUUCAGCCUUCGAGAAUCAUGGAUACCAGCUUACUUUAAAGAAAUAGCUUUGUCAGGGCUUAUGAGGACCACUUCAAGGUCAGAGAGUGCCAAUUUUUUUCUCACGUAUUAUCGGUUACAAACAUGCUUUGGUUGAGUUUUGGCUUCGAUUUGACACAGUUUUGGAAGAACAACGUCAUAAAGAGUUGCAAGAGGACCAUCUUAGCCUACAUACGAUGCCUGUGUUGAAGACAUCUUGGGCGAUUGAAAAGCAUGGCAGUGAGGUUUUCACGCAUGAGGUAUUUGAGGAUUUUCAACAUGAGUUGUUGAUAGGGAUCAUUGCCUUGUUGAGAUGAUGGCACAUGAAGGUGAGGUGAAAACAGUAACUAUACGUGAUGGUUAUAAGAAACUAAGGGUGGUAACUUACAACACAACAACCAUGGUAGGUUCUUGCACAUGUAAGUUGUUUGAGACACAUGGUAUCCCGUGUCGUCAUCUGAUCCAUGUCCUAAGAACCGCCCAGGUAAAGGAACUGCCAGAGCACUAUGUACUCAAAAGGUUUAGAAAAGAGUGCAAAAAACAGAGCCAGUCUUUGAUGAAGAUGGCAUUCUGUUGGAGGCCAAUGAGAGCAGUUCAAUUGAUCCGGAGAUACAAAAACUAGUUUCAAACACACGUGAGAAGAUGGAAGAACUUUUAGUACAAGCGAAGCUUUCUCGGGUCGGCAUACAAUUCUUGAGAGAUCACAUUUUCGCACUUGGAGAGAAAUGGUCUACUCUAGUUCCAGCGAAGAACAAACUCAAACAGAAGAAUAUGAGGAAUUUCUAGGUUGUUCCAUUCCAAGUGAGGUUGAUAUCCAUCCUCCAAAUGAUAUUCGUUCAAGGGGUAGAAUAAAAAGACUGAGGGAUACAGGGAUAAGGGUGGAAAGAAAGGACAAAAAGAGAAGACCAAGAAAAAGGAAGUGCAGAAGACAUGAUUAUGGUUGCUUGGUGGCACUACUGGCUUCUGCAAGUUAUUAGGACUAAUACACUAUGGCAUUGUGAUGUUCUUAUCUAGUGUACUGGAGCCAUUAGCUAUUGGCGCCAGACUUAUGCAAGUUAUGAGCUAGCUAUGUGCUCUAUGACUGAUCGAUGUAUAAAGCUACAGAUUUGCCAUCAGUUAAUGAUGCUCUAUUUUGUAACUUUGUACUGCAGUAAAGCAUUAUCUUAAGUGACUGAAUAAUAUUGAUGCUGCAUAA